AAGUUCUGCCCAGGACACUCACGGGCUUUGUUUGGUGGCGUCUGGCCCUGCGCAGGGCAGGCUCGGCUACGUCGUCUGUGCCGCGGGGAGCAGCCGGCUGCGCGCGGCUGGCCGGCUCCCUUUGGCGGCGGCGUUGCGCCUGCGAUCGCCUGCGUUUGGAGCAAGAAAUGGCAGCGUGCACUCGGCGCUGCGGCGCUGAGGUAGAGCGCUCUGCCCUGUCAGCGUGCCGCGCAAGCUGGGUCGUUGCCCAGCGCCACAAAAUGAUUCCCUCCUCACGUGCGUGAGGCGCUCGGCGCCUCUGCUCGCGGYACGUACGUGUUGCGCGGGGGCGCCUGGGCGCCUCUUGCUACUUAGAGGGGCAAGCGAGCAAGCUCAAGGUGUCCAAAUGGGGACUA
rnacentral:rRNA from 1 species